rnacentral:rRNA from 1 species
UGAAUACGAGACGCUAAGGCGUCGAAGUAGUGUAUGUCAUACUUCCAAGAAAAGCUUGCACUGUCAUAGAUAAAAAACGCCUGUACCAUAACCGACACAGGUGGGUAGGUAGAGUAUACUAAGGGGCGCGAGAUAACUCUCUCUAAGGAACUCGGCAAAAUAACUCCGUAACUUCGGGAGAAGGAGUGCCUUAUUCGUAAGGUUGCAAUAACAAGAUCCAAGCAACUGUUUAUCAAAAACACAGGUCUCCGCUAAGUCGUAAGACGAUGUAUGGGGGCUGACGCCUGCCCAGUGCCAGAAGGUUAAAGAAGUUGGUUAGCAAUUGCGAAGCUGAUAACUGAAGCCCUGGUGAACGGCGGCCGUAACAAUAACGGUCCUAAGGUAGCGAAAUUCCUUGUCGGGUAAGUUCCGACCCGCACGAAAGGCGUAAUGAUUUGGAUACUGUCUCGGAGAGGGGCUCGGUGAAAUAGACUUGUCUGUGAAGAUGCGGACUACCUGCACCAGGACAGAAAGACCCUAUGAAGCUUUACUGUAACUUGAAAUUGAAAUUGGACUUUAUUCGCGCAGUAUAGGUGGGAGGCGUUGAUUAUAAUCUUGUGGGAUUAUUGGAGCCAUCAGUGAGAUACCACUCUUGUAAUGUUAGAUUUCUAACUUUGAAUCAUUAUCUGGUCAAAGAACAGUUUCAGGCGGGCAGUUUGACUGGGGCGGUCGCCUCCUAAACGGUAACGGAGGCGUACAAAGGUUUCCUCUGAACGGUUAGAAAUCGUAUCUAGAGUGUAAAGGCAUAAGGAAGCUUGACUGUGAGACCUACAAGUCGAGCAGGGACGAAGGUCGGUCUUAGUGAUCUGACGGUACUGAGUGGAAAGGCCGUCACUCAACGGAUAAAAGUUACUCUAAGGAUAACAGGCUGAUCUCCCCCAAGAGUUCACAUCGACGGGGAGGUUUGGCACCUCGAUGUCGGCUCAUCGCAUCCUGGGGCGGUAGUACGUCCCAAGGGUUGGGCUGUUCGCCCAUGAAAGCGGUACGCGAGCUGGGUUCAGAACGUCGUGAGACAGUUCGGUCCAUAUCCGGUGUAGGCGUUGAAUAUUGAGAGGAGCCUUCUUUAGUACGAGAGGACCGAGAAGGACAUACCUCUGGUGUACCAGUUAUCGUGCCAACGGUAAACGCUGGGUAGCUAUGUAUGGAGUGGAUAACCGCUGAAAGCAUCUAAGUGGGAAGCCCACCUCAAGAUAAGUAUUCUC